AUCUCUAACAUGUAAAUGGGCUUGAUUUCAAUGUCGGUGAUGGAAUCAUGGUUGUCCUCCCCACAUUAUUCAAAUAUACCCAUCACUUUGGACUGUCAUAGCCAUUAGACAGUUAAUAACCAUCACUACCAAGAGUUUCUGCUUGUAUGACCAAGAAGUCUAGGACAUAGUUGGAAGAA